rnacentral:ncRNA from 1 species
GAUGACGGAUCCGUGACCGGUUCGCCCGGGCCCCGAUGGCCCGGACGUGAAAAGGGAACGCGGUGCGCCCGUCCUGAAGGACGCGCAAUUCCGCGGCUGCCCCCGCAACUGUAAGCGGCGAGCGCGGCUGAGAGUGCCACUGGGGAUGUCCCCCGGGAAGGCCAGCCAAGCGACGACCCGCGAGCCAGGAGACCUGCCGGCCGCCCGCCUCCCCC